AUAGGGAAAGCCGAAAACCUCAAAUAGAGUAGGCA
rnacentral:ncRNA from 1 species